rnacentral:lncRNA from 1 species
AGGGAACUGUUAGAUCACAGCUUGAACUGGUGAUUGAGCACCUGGUGAAGGGGUGUGGCUGGCCCAGGGAGCACAGACAAAUUGUUUGCACCUGUGUUCCCCAUGUGACCAGAAGGGAUGGACCCAGGCUGGAAGCACCCUGGGCACAUAUAAGGGCCAGCCACUGAAGGGUGAGUGUCUUUUCUACUGUUUCCUGUGAAGGAGUGCUGUGUAGCUAGAGAGCCUUCCCCAGCUGAGUGAGUGCUAGUGCUCUUUCUAUAUAUGACUUUAGGCCUAUCUGUGGGUAUUUAGCCUGCUAUUGCUUAGAACCUGUCAGAAGUUGAUUUUGUUUCUUCAUAGCAUCGGUUAUUUUAUUUAUUUACUGAUAUGUUUUGAACCAUAAUUAAUUCUUGUUCACCAUAUGAAAGAUCAAGGUUCUUCCAUCUUAAAAUUCCCACUCCUCCUAGGGGAAGGGAGGCUUUGCUCUCUUUAGAUCAUUAGAAGUAGCUUGAAGUCAGAAACUAUGAGCUGUAAGGCAGGUCAGCGAGAUGUGAGGUGCUCUUGAGUGCUGGUUCUCUGCACAAAGCAGGCUGAGAUUGAAUCAGUGUUCUCAUAGAAGAUAAUUGAGAUGCGAAGUACUUACAGCAUUGGCUACAGGUGGGAUUCCUUUGAGACUCUGCAGCUGAGGAGCAUACUUCAAUUCUUCUACAGCAGCCAGAUUGUUAGAGAAUUAGCAGAGCAUAUAACAGUAACUGGAGGAAGAACCCAGAGUUUUCUUGUUUAUUUCUGCAGAAGUUACAGUGGUGACAACCUAUCUGAAGCACAACAAAGCAUCAUAAUCUCAUUGCAAAGCAUAUGUGCGAUGCCAUAAAAAGCCUAUAGAUAGUGUAGUAUUGUGCAGUAUCUUUCCAUAAAGGUAUUCUUGUUUGUUUUUGAUGGGGAGUUGUAGAAUUGCUGAAAUUAGUGGAGUGAAAGGCUUUUCUGUGCCUGUCUAACAGAACUGAGAAAUAUGAAAGCUUCAAAUAGCUUUUUUACAAGCUGUUUUCAAGCCUGAAAUAGUCUAGUCUUGAGGGGAUGGGAAACAAGUAUCCUGAUUCCAUCAGCUGUUAAUGUUUAGUUCUGUGGUCCCUUUAAUAACAAGCCCAGUGAAAAAAAGGGAAAGUUGAAUGAAUACAUUUUUUGACAUUUUGUUUAUUAGUAUUUUAUCUAGGCUAGUAGUAAAUGAAUAGACUUGUCAGCAGAAAUCUCUUGGUGAAACAAAUAAAGAAUCUUAAAAGGCAGAGAGAACA